GGCUGGUCUGAAGGUAAUGAGUUAUCUCAAUAGAUUAUUCACAGUCAUUUACAGAUCGAACUCCUUGUUGUGCUCUUCUCCUCCUUCUCACUACUGUACUUGACUAGUCUUAA
rnacentral:Y_RNA from 1 species